GGUGGCUCAGUGGUAAAGUGCUUGCCUUGCAUGCAUGAGGCCCUGGGUUCAAUUCUCAGCACCA
rnacentral:tRNA from 1 species